rnacentral:rRNA from 1 species
CCUACGGGGUGCAGCAGUGGGGAAUAUUGGGCAAUGGGCGCAAGCCUGACCCAGCAACGCCGCGUGAAGGAAGCAGGCCCUCGGGUUGUAAACUUCUUUUGUCAGGGACGAAACACAUGACGGUACCUGACGAAUAAGCCACGGCUAACUACGUGCCAGCAGCCGCGGUAAUACGUAGGUGGCAAGCGUUAUCCGGAUUUACUGGGUGUAAAGGGCGUGUAGGCGGGAGAGCAAGUCAGAUGUGAAAUUCCAGGGCUCAACCCUGGAACUGCAUUGGAAACUGUUUUUCUUGAGUGAUGGAGAGGCAGGCGGAAUUCCGUGUGUAGCGGUGAAAUGCGUAGAUAUUAGGAGGAACACCGGUGGCGAAGGCGGCUUACUGGACCGUAACUGACGUUGAGGCUCGAAAGCGUGGGGAGCAAACAGGAUUAGAUACCCCUGUAGUC